rnacentral:rRNA from 1 species
UUGACCUCGGAUCAGGUAGGAAUACCCGCUGAACUUAAGCAUAUCAAUAAGCGGAGGAAAAGAAACCAACAGGGAUUGCCUCAGUAACGGCGAGUGAAGCGGCAACAGCUCAAAUUUGAAAUCUGGCCCUAGGCCCGAGUUGUAAUUUGCAGAGGAUGCUUUUGGCAAGGUGCCUUCCGAGUUCCCUGGAACGGGACGCCAUAGAGGGUGAGAGCCCCGUCUGGUCGGACACCGAGCCUCUGUAAAGCUCCUUCGACGAGUCGAGUAGUUUGGGAAUGCUGCUCAAAAUGGGAGGUAUAUGUCUUCUAAAGCUAAAUACCGGCCAGAGACCGAUAGCGCACAAGUAGAGUGAUCGAAAGAUGAAAAGCACUUUGAAAAGAGAGUUAAAUAGCACGUGAAAUUGUUGAAAGGGAAGCGUUUAUGACCAGACUUGGCCCGGUUGAUCAUCCAGCCUUCUGGCUGGUGCACUCUGCCGGUCCAGGCCAGCAUCAGUUCGCCGCGGGGGAUAAAGGUUUCGGGAAUGUAGCUCCUCCGGGAGUGUUAUAGCCCGUUGCGUAAUACCCUGCGGUGGACUGAGGUCCGCGCUCUGCAAGGUGC